rnacentral:rRNA from 1 species
UACGUAGGCAGCGAGCGUUGUUCGGAGUUACUGGGCGUAAAGGGUGUGUAGGCGGUUGUUUAAGUUUGGUGUGAAAUCUCCCGGCUCAACUGGGAGGGUGCGCCGAAUACUGAAUGACUAGAGUGCGGGAGAGGUGAGUGGAAUUCCUGGUGUAGCGGUGAAAUGCGUAGAUAUCAGGAGGAACACCGGUGGUGUAGACGGCUCACUGGACCGUAACUGACGCUGAGGAGCGAAAGCGUGGGGAGCGAACAGG